rnacentral:lncRNA from 1 species
UUCAUGCACUAGCCAACACAACCAGAAGUCCGAAGUGAUGGAAAGGGCUAGGCAAUCUACAUAUACACUUCGACGCAUCAUUCCCAUUUAAGUUUGAUUCAGAUCCCUUUGCUGUUUCCAUUUCCUGAUAUAAUCAGUCCAUUGAGGGCUCGGCAAUAUUCCGAUGAUCGGAGUGCAAAGACAUCCCCGUGUGACCUGGCUUCGACCCAUGAGGAGCAGACUCAAUCUCAUUCAUUAUUUCGUGGGGCGAAUACCUCAGUGUAUCUUGUUCCUUUUCUUAUAAGUGUGCCAACAGUUCUAGUACCCUUGUUCUCAUUAUUUAUAUAACGGCAAAAGAAAGAUCUUGCACCUGACCAACCUGACCCCUGCGUCGCCUUGCUCGGGCGACACGGGGGGAACCCAGCGCCGCCGCAAGGCCUCCCCCCCCCCNCCCCCCCCCGCCGCUGCGGAAGGGGCCGGCGACUAAGCCCGCACGUGCCUCAAGGAUGGUGGCGGUGGGCCGUUUUUCUCUGUCCCGGCGUUGCGGUGCGAGGGUUGCGGCCUUUGGUGGAUCUGGUGGCG